rnacentral:rRNA from 1 species
GAUGAACGCUGGCGGCGUGCCUAACACAUGCAAGUCGAGCGUGAACCCUGCGAAUGAAACUUCGGUCGAUUUUGCAGGGGGAAAGCGGCGGACGGGUGAGUAACGCGUAGGUAACCUGCCCCAUACUGAGGGAUAGCCUCGGGAAACCGGGAUUAAUACCUCAUAACACCGUAUAUUCGCAUGGAUGUGCGGUCAAAGAUUUAUCGGUAUGGGAUGGGCCUGCGUCUGAUUAGCUGGUUGGUGGGGUAACGGCCUACCAAGGCGACGAUCAGUAGCCGACCUGAGAGGGUGAUCGGCCACAUUGGAACUGAGACACGGUCCAAACUCCUACGGGAGGCAGCAGUGGGGAAUAUUGCACAAUGGGCGAAAGCCUGAUGCAGCAACGCCGCGUGAGCGAAGAAGGCCUUUGGGUCGUAAAGCUCUGUCGGGUAGAAGAUAAUGACGGUACUACCCGAGGAAGCCCCGGCUAACUACGUGCCAGCAGCCGCGGUAAUAGUACUCU